rnacentral:rRNA from 1 species
ACGGGAGGCAGCAGUGGGGAAUAUUGGACAAUGGGGGCAACCCUGAUCCAGCGACGCCGCGUGAGUGAAGAAGUAUUUCGGUAUGUAAAGCUCUAUCAGCAGGGAAGAUAAUGACAGUACCUGACUAAGAAGCCCCGGCUAACUACGUGCCAGCAGCCGCGGUAAUACGUAGGGGGCAAGCGUUAUCCGGAUUUACUGGGUGUAAAGGGAGCGUAGGUGGCAUGGCAAGUCAGAAGUGAAAGCCCAGGGCUCAACCCUGGGACUGCUUUUGAAACUGUCAAGCUAGAGUGCAGGAGAGGUAAGUGGAAUUCCUAGUGUAGCGGUGAAAUGCGUAGAUAUUAGGAGGAACACCAGUGGCGAAGGCGGCUUACUGGACUGUAACUGACACUGAGGCUCGAAAGCGUGGGGAGCAAACAGGAUUAGAUACCCUGGUA